GCUGUCGCUUAGGAAUCCUUGUCAAAGGAAGCGAGAAACUGGCACAGAAAAUUUCUUUGAUGGAGGAGUGGCUUAAUCGUGUUCGAAUCUGCCUCUCGGAGAAACGUGCUGCUGCAAUUGAGAUCGACUCCCUAUAUAAGCUGAAAUCAGAGGUUAUUCUCACUCUUCUUAGUUCAUAAAUCGUUUUGGCCGCUGUCAUCAAGGCAAGUGCUUCCAGAGAGCAUGAGAUUCUUGCGGAAAUUAGAGAUGCUGUUUUUACGUUUAUUCAUAAAAUGGAAUCGAAGAGAGUUAUGGGUCUCACGUGUCAGGAUAUUGUAUAAAAUGGAAUCGAAGAGGUAACAAUUUUGGAUAUCUCCUCUAGGCUUCAAAAUUUGCUUAUGGGGCAAAUGAACCGCACAUUGAAGAACAAGAUUGAUGUUUUCCUAGGUUAUUUGAGUUUUACCAUUUUUAGUUCAGGGGUUGUUCAGUUUGAGCGUCACUUUAGGGACCAUUAUCUAAGAAGUUUUGACAAUUUGAAUGAGAGAAUUCAAAGGUGA